UGGAGGGACACGUGUGCCGGGAGGGAAGCAGGAAGUGACUUCGGGAGUGGAGCCGGCCGAGCCAGCGGCAGCGGGGCUGAUGGAAGUGGAGUGGGGGCUUGAGAGGGCACCGUACUGUAUCCAGCAUGCUCCAAGGCCACAGCUCAGUGCUCCAGGCGUUGCUGGGGACCUUCUUCACCUGGGGGCUGACGGCAGCCGGGGCAGCUCUCGUGUUCAUAUUCUCUAGUGGACAGAGGCGGAUCUUGGAUGGAAGUCUUGGCUUUGCUGCAGGGGUCAUGUUAGCAGCUUCCUAUUGGUCUCUCCUGGCCCCGGCCGUUGAGAUGGCCACGUCCUCUGGGGGCUUUGGUGCCUUUGCCUUCUUCCCUGUGGCCGUUGGCUUUACCCUCGGAGCUGCUUUUGUCUACCUGGCUGACCUCCUGAUGCCUCACCUGGGUGCCGCAGAAGACCCCCCGACGGCCCUGGCACUGAACUUCGCCCCUGCGUCAAUGAAGAAGUCUGACACUGAGGGUCCCGGGCUGUUCUUCCCUGAGAGUGAACUUUCCAUCCGGAUAGGUAGAGCUGGGCUUCUUCCAGACAAGAGCGAGAACGGCGAGGCCUAUCAGAGGAAGAAAGCGGUGGCCACUGGCCUUCCCCAGGGCCCCGCCGCCCUGGUGCCUCCUCGAGGGAACCCGGCGCAGCCUGGGAGCGGCGGCUGGAGGAGGAUUGCGCUGCUCAUCUUGGCCAUCACCAUCCACAACAUUCCAGAGGGUCUCGCUGUCGGCGUUGGAUUUGGGGCUGUAGAAAAGACGGCGUCUGCCACCUUCGAGAGCGCCAGGGGAAAUCAGAGGUUUGAGGCUGACCUGGGGAGCUGCUCCAGAACCAAGAAAGAAGGACAAGAAAGAAGGCCUGGAAAGGAGCAGCUAAGGGCUCCUCUUCCUCACCAUACUUCCCACCAGGAACCUGGGGGGAGCCAACAUAUGCCAUCAGGACCUUGCAAAGGACCCACCUAAGGUGGGACCAUCUCUUAAGAGGCAAGAGCUCCGGGUCUGAGAAUUCUUAUUUUGGAGAAUGAAGAAACUUCUGGUUUUGAGAAGACAUUGGAGGGGAAAGCAAAGACCCUUGCACUGAGGAAUAGUCUAUGUGUGGACCGGCAUGAACUGGACGUGACCUACAGUUGGACGUGACCUACAGUUGGACAAGUUACCAUCAUCACAGACCUUGUCCUGCCUUCUUGUGGAAGACGUUUCCUCUGCUGCCUCCUGCCCUUAAGCCUCCCCCCAGUGCCCGGAAACCAAAGGGCUUUCUACCACACCCUUUCUUGCCCCCCAACUCCCCCGUCUGCUGUGCCUUUGGACUCGGCAAUUCUUGUUUGCUCCAUUAUCUUCCAGCCGGAUACAGAGUGAAUUGUUAACCACACUUAGGCCAAAUGGGAUUUUAAUUUUUGUUCCUGUUCCUUCUGAAGAGGCCAGUGUUUGUGUGGCUAUGUGAGCGGCAUUGGAAUAGAAUGUCCUCUCGCUUCUUGUGGAUCUGGCCCCUCAGGUUCCAGAGCCAUGCAGCUAUCUUCUGUUGACACAGACGCACCGCCAGCCGAGAAGACCCCUCCUCUCAGAUGGCAGCUGGGGCCCCUGCCCGAGCAUGGUGCUUCAUCGUAGACCAUCUAGCUACCAGAGCUGGUGUGUUUAUUGAAGACCCUCUUCCCCUCGGAUGCUGACGACACUCCUGACGGCAGAUUGGGCCCCUCGAAACACGAGUCCUGUGUGUUCCUCCCCUCCAGGGCCACGUGCACAUGACUGAAAACACUUCUAGAGUCGACCUUGUCUAAAUUGCAGAGCAAAAGGUGCCCGUUCGUUCAACUUUGAAAGCAAACGGAUGGCUUGCCUUUGUAGAAAAAUUAAAGCCGUACACACAUAUCUUCUCUUUGCUGUAGCUGAUGUGUUUCUGUGACCAUAGAGUGACUUCAGUGUCUGCUCAGUGGAGCAAUGGGGUCCUUCUUGGCCUCUCAGAUUCCCCACAAAAUGAGUGAGGAGCACCUCUUGAGGUCGUUUCCUGCUGUUGAAACGUAAGGUUUGUUUGUGGGCUUUUGUCUUCCUUCCUUGACAUGCACACAGACUCGUCGCACUGGUUAGAGUCCUUCAGGUUUCAAGGAACAGAGACCCGCUUCGAGCACCUCCAUUAACAUGGGUUUUUUCCAAAUUGCUCUCGAAGUAAGGUAGACAGGAAGAGUCUGCCCAGCAGCUGCCCAGCGAGCCUUUCUAGAAGCCCAAAGUCAUUCAAGACAUCCAUUCACUAGACAGUUUCCAGGAACAGCAAGAACUCGGACGCCGUAGUCAUUCUAAUCAUCUGCUCAGCAGCAGGACUCACUGCUCCUGAUUCUAGAAUUCUCCUGUGACAAUGAGCUGAGGGGUGGUAGCCAUCCCAGUUUACCCCGGGCUGAGAGGUGUCCUGGGACACAUGACUUUUUGGUGAUAAACCUGGGACAGUCCUGGGCAAACCAGAAUAAUUGGCCACCCUCCUGGGUGGCUUGCUGACGUUGCUUCUGCCGCUAAGUUACCUGCCAUAGGUCGCUUGAUUAGCCUGGCCAGCUGCCAUUCAGAACCCUUGCGUCUGACCACAUCGUUGACCACUGGGCAGGCUACAGAUGGAGGCCAUUGGAUCAAGCACUGAUCCCGACCACGUCAGGUGUUUCCCUGAUGGUAGGCUUGCAUGAGAUUGAAUAAAAACCUGGGUGUAAUGAACCAGCUGAGACCACUUCCUUCACAAGACGUGCUGUGGAUGGAGAUGGGAGCCAUUCAAGGGAUCAGGGAUUCCUCUCCAAUACAGUCCUACUUAAAAAAGGUGACGCUAACCUUUCUUAUUAAGAACAGAGCAGUUCAUCGGGAAACAAAAAUUACCACAACCACUGGGAACGGCGGGGAAACAGACUACGCAUGUCUGACAGACAUGCACGUACCACGUAGAAGGAGCCAAGAAGAAAACUCUGCAUCUUUGCUAGAGAGAGAGUUAGGAGCUAAAGUCAUCAGGACGGGGGACGGGGUUGUCUAGGGAGCAAAGGAGUUGACUGGAGGACUUCCUGAAAUGCCUUUGAACUCUAGGAUUCUUUGAAAUAUCAAGGGCAUGUAAAUGUGGCCCAAGUGUGUACUUUCCCUCUAAAGUCUCCCAGAUCACCUUUGAGUUCCACUCCAGUCGUGUCGAAUGGGGCCUCCCGGCUCCCUCUUCCCUCUCCAGACACUGACUUUAUCUGGGAUCAGGGAGCGGAACUUGGUGGUGGUCGUGGGCGGUGGAGGAGGACGGGAAGGUUGUACCUGCCCAACUUUUGGUGUUCUUGACAAGUAAGAACAAUCCAAAGGCAAAUUACAGGUUCUUUUCAGGUUAGUCAAAGCCGGGCUUUCGGGAUUGCAUGCCGUCCCGAAGCUGUUGCUUCUUGUCGGGGGAUCAGGCCUCCAUCUUUUCUGUUGAAAGACGGGCAUGAGCGUCUGCAGUGCUGGAACGCGAGCCUCCGGCUCAUCCCGCCCCUCUUGCACGCUGUGGCUACACGGGGGGUCAUUGCCUGCUAAGGUGGAGAUGGGCAUGCGAACAUCUAGAAACCCGUCUCUCGUUACCCGUGUGUAAAGAUCGAGAUCCCCCAUGCACCCGAGUCUUUGCCCCUGUUCUGGCUCUUUCUGCCUUCACUGCGUCGAAGGAAGGCUAGCCCAGAGCCUUGGGCACCACUUUUCUUUUUAAAAAGAUGGACUCAUUUCAGACGUUCCCUUCAUUCAUGUCCCACGUACGGUCUUCGGUUCCCUAAGUCUCACUGUUGUGCCAAAGGCAACAAUCUCCUCUUUCUUGCUCUCUUCUUAUCGUCUCAUUCACAUAGAAUCACAGAAUCCCCGAGUUCAAAGUGGUCUAAAGGCAUCACCUUUAUCUAGAUUUACCUCUGACUGAGGCAGGGGUCCCCUUUCCAACAUCAGACGCGGGAUCGCCCAGGCCUAGGGAAGGCAGCCUUUUUGGCAGAGCGGGAGAGGACGGGGAGAGAGGGCUGGAUGGUAUUCAGCUUGGUAGGGAAAGCAGUAGGUUGUGAAGAGCAGUUCGUGGGCUGGCUAGAGACCCUGAAUGUCAACUUCCUAACGAGAUUUUGAGCCAGGUGUGCUUUGCCCCCUCCCCAGCAUGUAUCUGUCUCUUACUUCUGGGUCCAGGGUGACUUCUGAUAAAAAGUACAGAGUAGAGAGACAAGGAAAUCUGAGAUUUUGUCUCCAAAAGACCCUCCUCUUCAUUCCUUCCCUGUAAAUUAGAGGAGUCGGGCCACGUGAUCCCUGAAGCCUCUUCUGUCUCUGACAUCCGCAGUGCCGUCACAUUUAAUCAAGUCCGUGACCGGAAGGUAUGCUGUUUCUUUGCUCCAUUUGAGAAGAGUAAAUCAAGUGUUGCCCAAGGUACCGUGGAAGGGCAUUUCAUCCGCGUGCUGGACACAGUCAUCUUGCUGCGAUCCAUUAUAAAUAUAAUCUCAAGUUAGGGCCCUGUCCCGAGAUUUUGUUCAGGCUUUCCUGUGAGAUUUUCCCGUGGCAUUAAAACUUGACCCACAGGGACCUUUCAUCCUCUUCAAAGGGUCCCCAAAACCCCGGUGUUGAUGGAGAGAUGGAAGGUCCUAAUGGUGAGGUACAGCCCUCUGCUCAGGGGAAUAUGGUUUAAAGGGCAUAAGGGUGACCUUGGGAAUGGCCACUGACCUUGGACAAGACUCUCACGCCAGGCUGGUGGGAAGCAGGGCUGGGUCCCCCUAUCCCUGCUUCAGAGUGAGACCUUCUAUGCCCAGGCUGACAAGAGCUCUGAACUGAGGGGGUUCUGGAAGUCUGUACUCUAGUCCCACCUUAACUUCAGCCCCAAGGCCCUUUUUGUUGGGUCUCAGUCUUCUCAUCCACAAAGUGGGAGAGGGAGGGGGAAGUGGGUGGUGUGGGUGAUCCUCUAAGGUCCCUCCCAUGUGUCAGGUUCUAAGCCUCACCUGACCCAGCUGAGGCCUGCCUGUUCUCUGACAAGUAGCUCUUCUCCCUCUGCCUUUGGCUGCACAAGCCAGAAACAGGGCUGUCCCGGGAAGUCCAUUACCAGAGAAUACUUCAAAGCUGUUUGCACUCGUUGUCAGUUGCACUGAACUUGAGUUUGUUGAGGGAGAAGGCAAAUAGACAUACAGACUGAUGGCAGCACGGGGAAGGGGGACUGCUAUUUGCCCGGGGUGACAAGCGGGGGGGAAAAACCAGCCUGUAGUUUUGACCAAUAAAUAAAAACUGGGAGCUCUGCGUGGCUACAACUGGAGGGGAUUUAUUAGUUUGCUUAGUGAAAGGCAAAUAUUAAGUCUUAAGUUGACCCGUCCUGGGACCUGCCUUUUGGCUUUUGUAUGCCGUCCUGCACCGAUCACUGUGUACUUCGGGUUAUCAAGUUCUGUCAAAGGGUUUGGGAUUUUUUUUUUUCUUAAUUGUUUUCCAUCUCGUUCUCCUUUCUUCCCUCCUUUGCCUGCCUUCCCCCACUGUUACCGCAACUCGGGGUACGGAAGACACGUGGCCGCGUUGUCCUGUUCAUGAAGCUGGCUGUAAUCAGGGCUCCCGUGGGCUUCAGAACUGCCCAGCUGCCAGUGCAGAGGCUCAGGACCAGGUGGUCCUCGUGGGUCCCUCUGUCCUCGGCCCUGAGCAUAAGUCUGGGCAUCGGAAAAAGAUACACAUCAUGUGUUUCUCUACGUUGUCACCUUUCUUUCCUAUGUGACUGUUCGUGCUGAACCCUGCCCUCCAAGAGGAGCCGCUGAAGGUAGGGCCAUGAGGGCUAACUGGGGUCUGACCAGGACUCGUCACCAUCCAGGGAGUGAAAUGUCCAGACCAGAGGGGCUAGACAGGCACCCAGUCUAUCCAGUUUCCAAGUAUGAGCUUCAAUGAAGCUAAACUACAUGGAACAUUCUUUACCCUUUGCCUCAAACGUCCUCGGUGCAAAGCCAGUCUGUUCUGAACACUGACGUUCUUGGGUCCUAGGGCCUCAUGGGUGGGGCUCGCUAAUACCCACCACCAUGGGGUCCUGCCUACUAGGGCACCCUGAGCGCCACUGCCACCCUGGCAAUGGUCCACAGAGGGUGCCCUUCCAGGCCAGUUCACGGUAUAAUGGCUCACCACCACUCUUCCUGUAGCCAAGAGUUGGGAAUGUUCUGGAACUGCUUAAUUAAGAAAGUUCCUUUCACAUUCCAGUGGUGAUUUUCGAUUGAACUCAGCAUGAUUUUUAAUCCUCUGGCAAUUCUUCCUGGAUGAGUCUAUUUUUAAAAAGGUCAAUGUUGGGUACCCAGGCUACUGCUGUCCUACUAGUCCUUCAAGGCUCCGCUCCAAGUCUCCCUUCUCUGGGAUGCCUUCCUGAAUUCCUUCUUCC